ACUCGUUGAGAUGGUGGGGGAUUGAGCAAUGCUCCAGCAGCUAAAUUUCAUGUGUAUUUUUAAAUGGAGAGGAAAAAGAAAAAAAAAGAAAAAGAAAAAAAAACCGAAAAACCCUUCUAGGCUAUGUACUGUUUACUUCUCCGGAUAGAAAAUUCAAGCUGCUAGUUCCCGUCCAGUCCUCUUUUCUGGCCAUUUGGUGUACCGACCCUGGAGAGGCUUUGCAGCCACGCACUGCAGUGGCUGCUGCCAUGAAACCUGCUUGUCUAACACACAGGGAAGCUUAAAGCUGCCGCAGAUGUGCAGAAUGACACAGCAAAGAAAUCAAGCAGCAGGUUUUCAGCGGCUGAUAAUUCCACCGAACGCAGAUCGGUGACUGAACAAUUGGAACAUUCGCUCACAAUCCCACUUCACUCCAAUUACUGUAUCUUUUCAUUUGCUCUUCCGCAAGGGCUUGCUAACGUGGUGGGAAGCAACACGUACUGUGAUGUGCAUCCGCCGAGUGCUACCUGAGAAAGCUUUUGGUGUAGAUAGGCAAUUGGAGGACUUCAGUUUAAGGGGGGGAAAUGAUGAAAGAAUAUUUUAGGCCAGCAAGAAACCCAGAUCAAGGAAUGAAUGAGCACCUGUACACAGAAAUGCCUUGGGCUCUCCAAUCCCCUGCUCAGCCUAUAAGGAACCCUAUGUUCCAUACAGGCCUUUCCCUGAUGCCCGAGAUGUGAAUGUCUGAUUCCAGGUGGAAGAAUCAGACUUGCUGACUGUUGGUAAAAGUGAGUUGACUGAAUUAAUUAAAUGAUGGUGGGCUCCAAACCUCCUACAAGCACUGUGAACAAAACACAUAAAAACUAUUUUCAUGGAGCUUUUAUUCUAGUAGUAGACAACUAACAAAUCAGUAAAGCCUAAAGCAUAUCAAUGGUGAAAAGUAUAGAGGGAAAAAAAAAACAGUAAAUGGGAAUAGGAAAUAUCAAGAAUAGAUUUUUACAAUUUUAACAUCUUUGUGGUUAAAGAGAAUGCAAACAAUACUUGUACAGCAUUUUGGAGUUUAUUUCAAUUAACGCCCAUGGUAUACACCCCUUCCUGUCCUAGAAAUGGCCGACGCUAUCGGAUUCAGCGAUCAAAACCUCAGGUUUUACUGGGACAACUCAUUAUUUUGGGGACAACUUAUUCUACCAGAUUAUUAUAAGAGACUCCCAUUUGGAAACUGCUGACUUAGAUUAUCAGCAUUAGAAAAAUUCCUUUGGCACUGAGGCCUUGAUAAGCUCCCAUCAAACCUGCAGGAAAAGCAAUAUGCAAAAUACAGAUCCACCAAUUGAGGUCUCAGUAGUUUCUAAGUAUAUUCCUGUCAGGAUGACUUCAUUAUUUAUGGAACAGAUAUAGAAUUGCCCAUUGAGAAUCAGCUAAUAUUGGAUUGUUACAUACAUUUCGUACAAUCAACAGUGAAAGAAGCCAAAAUCAAUCUUGAUGUCCCAAACUAAUAUAUUGGAUACCUAUGAUUUACAUGCCAACUAGUAUAAAAUAUAAACAGCUUUGUUUACAAAAGUUUUGCUCUAUGUGAGGGGCUGUUAAUUAAAGAGAGCAGUGUGUCCAACGUCAGAGGUCACUGUGACUUAAUGGUAAUUCAUGCAUUUAGUCUACUUUCAGUUCUUUUCAUUCUAUGCAAUUUACUCUGGAUUUUUAUAGCUACAUACAGUUUUGUAUGUAUAUUAUGAGCUGUGAAAUCCAGUUAGAAGGCUGUACUAAAGGCUAAAAAGUGGGAAAAAAUGUGAUAGAGAAAACACAUUAGGCAUGUAGGAAUUCUCAGUUCUGUAAAGUUUUUAAGAAUAAAGAAAGUUAAAUAGAGAAAUUAAAUCCCUCUUCAUUUUGAGAAUCCUCUUUACAAUGGUGUCUUAUAGCCUUGAUUUGUCUGCAUUACAAUUAUUAGGUACUUGUUUUACUUUUUGACUACUCAAAGGUGAAUUGCUCAAAGGCAAAUUCUGUAAUAUUAUUUUACUCUUCGUAUUUGGAACAUAAUGAUGUGAAUGUUAGUCAUUGCUCCAUACACAUUUAUUGGAUGAAUAAUAGCUGUGAUAUUCUUUUUUAAGGAAAACAUCUCCUUUAUUCCUAGUUUUUUAAAUCAACAACCAUAACAUAUAUUGAAAAAAACAUUAAAGAACUACAGAAUUGUUUUUCAAAUUGUGUUAUCUACCUCAUCUAGGAUAUAUAAGGGAAAAGCAUAAUAUAAAACUAAUCUCUAGUUACUUAUACCCCAAGGGUGCCUGGCAGUAAACAAACAUAAAUCUGGAAGGAUUUCAAACUUACAAAACAUGUAAAGAAAUAAUCCAUCAUAAGCAAGGCUCAGCAGUAAUCGUAAACAUUAGAACAAGACACCAAAGAAUAUCAGUUAAUAAAGUCAUAGUUAUAAACCAGAAAUAAAUAAGCUUAAAUAAUCACAGAUAUAAAAAUUAAUCAAAACAUAAAAAAAGUAACAAAAUAAUUUAAAAAGCACCA